UACAAUGUAUUACACCAGUGGUUCUCAUACUUUUUCACAUCAAGGACCCCUAAACCGACACAAAUUAGACCACGGACCCCCAUCUGAUAAGACUUUGACCCAGGGUCCAAUACCUGAUAAAAUU